rnacentral:misc_RNA from 1 species
GUAGGUGAACCUGCGGAGGGAUCAUUAUAGAGUUAAACAACUCCUAAACCCUUUGUGAAUCUAUCAAAAGUUCAUUGUUUCUUUGGCAGGCGAUCUCUGGGAGAGGUCUGUGGCCGGUCACGGUGCCUGCCAGAGGGAUGUAAACUCUCUGUAACUCUGGUUGUCUGAGUAUUUACAAAUAAAAUUAAAACUUUCAACAACGGAUCUCUUGGUUCUG